AUUGAACGCUGGCGGCAUGCCUUACACAUGCAAGUCGAACGGCAGCACGGGAGCAAUCCUGGUGGCGAGUGGCGAACGGGUGAGUAAAGUAUCGGAACGUGCCCAGUCGUGGGGAUAACGUAGCGAAAGUUACGCUAAUACCGCAUACGAUCUAUGGAUGAAAGCGGGGGAUCGCAAGACCUCGCGCGAUUGGCGCGGCCGAUAUCAGAUUAGGUAGUUGGUGGGGUAAAGGCUCACCAAGCCGACGAUCUGUAGCUGGUCUGAGAGGACGACCAGCCACACUGGGACUGAGACACGGCCCAGACUCCUACGGGAGGCAGCAGUGGGGAAUUUUGGACAAUGGGCGCAAGCCUGAUCCAGCCAUACCGCGUGCAGGAUGAAGGCCUUCGGGUUGUAAACUGCUUUUGUACGGAACGAAAAGGUUUGACUUAAUACGUUGGACUCAUGACGGUACCGUAAGAAUAAGCACCGGCUAACUACGUGCCAGCCGCCGCGGUAA
rnacentral:rRNA from 1 species